CCUGCAUCCAAGGGUCUCUGGUACCUGCCUUUCUGGGGGUCCCGGCUGCACUGUCAGGAUUGCUUUCUUCUACUCUGGUCCUGUUCACGUUUCAAACACCUUUCAUCACAGAGAUAUAUUCAGGUGCUUUCAUAAUGGCCAUGCCCAUCAAAGAUGAAUGAAAAUACAUUAGGUUGUAACACCCAGAAGAGUAAGCACAGAAUAUUUACACUAAAAAUGAACAGUGUGGAACUGUGACAGAUGGGCAUUAAUCUGUCAUCAAUUACAUCGGACACAGAACAGAACAAAGUUGGGAAGCUGUAAGAAAAUAUGAACCCUUUCUUUUUUAAAGUAAAAAUGAACUGGACACAGACUGAAACCUCUAAUCAGAAUAAGUAGGCUGUAAAUCCUGAUUUGUUUAAAGGGAGGAUCCUGAUGCAGAUGUGGAAGCCAGCUCUAAAGAAAAGGCUUUAUCCUUGCUCAGAGUCCUGUGACACAGAAGAAAAAAUCCAGGAUCAAAAAUUCCCCAUGCAACUGUGAGAGUGUUGCUAAC